CCUAGCUUCGUGUGUGCAGCGCGUGGACCGACUUCAGCUCCCGCGAGGCUGGUUUCGAGGUUCUGGCAGAUCCUCUCAGAAGAUCACAGUUCCUGUGAGCAAGAACUUCCCUGUAAUCUCAACAGCAUCCAGGUUUGGUGAUUAUAUAAAGGACGGAUCCCUAGCUGGGACAGUCUCUGGAUGGCAUUUCCUUCAGUCUCUGCUCCACACAUUCUCUCCAUAUUUCCUCCUGUAAACUGGCUGCAGUGGUGCACUCUUGCAGUCCUAGACCGAAGACUUGAGGCAGCAGACUGCUGUCACCUGUGGGCAGCAUGGCAGCCUGGACCACAGAGUGGGAGGAUCCCAGAACACAAAACACACUUUACCUCAGAAGAGAAGAAACAAAGCCUUGCUCCUCCUCAUCACUGGUACGCUCGCUCCAAGUGCUGGAAGAAGCAGGUUCACACUGCGUGUCAAAGGCGCCAGAACCGUCCACAUCUGCUGCUGUAACGGCAUCUCUGAAGAACUGUACAACUUCUCCAGAACAGCCGCUAUACAAGGAGAGACCAUCAAAAACUAUGUCAAUGGAAGAUGAAGGUUUCCUCAGGUACACUCUAGCAUUCCCAAGCAGCUGAAAGUCAGGAGGCCUGCGACAAAAACACAGAGAAGAAACUGAAGGCAACUGACCCAGCAAACAUGGGCAAGACCUUACUACAGCUGUACUGCAUAACAAAUAUAAUUAAAGGAGUAAUUCAGAUGAAGAUUUUUUUCUUCCUUAAGGAAAAAAAAAAGGACAAAGUACUGUAAAAUACAUGCACAAAAAUCUA